rnacentral:rRNA from 1 species
UACGAAGGGUGCUAGCGUUGUUCGGAAUCACUGGGCGUAAAGCGCGCGCAGGCGGCUUUUCAAGUCAGAGGUGAAAGCCUGGAGCUCAACUCCAGAAUUGCCUUUGAAACUGCAAAGCUAGAGUGUCGGAGGGGAUAGCGGAAUUGCUAAUGUAGAGGUGAAAUUCGUAGAUAUUAGCAGGAACACCGGUGGCGAAGGCGGCUAUCUGGACGACAACUGACGCUGAGGCGCGAAAGCGUGGGGAGCAAACAGG